rnacentral:rRNA from 1 species
ACUCCUGCGGGAGGCAGCAGUGGGGAAUAUUGCACAAUGGGCGCAAGCCUGAUGCAGCCAUGCCGCGUGUAUGAAGAAGGCCUUCGGGUUGUAAAGUACUUUCAGCGGGGAGGAAGGCGAUAAGGUUAAUAACCUUGUCGAUUGACGUUACCCGCAGAAGAAGCACCGGCUAACUCCGUGCCAGCAGCCGCGGUAAUACGGAGGGUGCAAGCGUUAAUCGGAAUUACUGGGCGUAAAGCGCACGCAGGCGGUCUGUCAAGUCGGAUGUGAAAUCCCCGGGCUCAACCUGGGAACUGCAUUCGAAACUGGCAGGCUAGAGUCUUGUAGAGGGGGGUAGAAUUCCAGGUGUAGCGGUGAAAUGCGUAGAGAUCUGGAGGAAUACCGGUGGCGAAGGCGGCCCCCUGGACAAAGACUGACGCUCAGGUGCGAAAGCGUGGGGAGCAAACAGGAUUAGAUACCCCAGUAGUCCCAUG